CAGCCACCCUUAUAACUGGCUUUCUUCAUGGUUCUCUAAAAAUUAAGGCUUUCCUUGCGAGACGAGAAUCUUCACCAUCUGAAUCAUGAUGCCUUGGAGAUUGGGCGCAUGGUUGCAACAUAUUCAGUCAAGAAAGCAAGUUCUGCAGGUCUGAACCUGUCACACAGUAAUCGUGCCAUAGCAAGAAACAGGGAGUUCCACCCGGUGUCAUUUGGGCGGAUGAGUUGGAGCUUGCAUUCCUUUUCAAUCAGCUCCGCAGCUAUGGUGGAGCGAGCACUUAGCACUUAGCAAAUGCUGCAUGUGAAGUUUUUUUGUAGAUCUCGUUUGAGUUUGCUUUUGUGGCGUCCAAUGUUGAGGUCAGGUUAAGAAGAUGACAAGCACAACGGUGAUUCUUUGGAAGCUGAUAUUCCGAACAACCAUCUUCAUGAGAGCUUCUACCUCAACACGCUCUGCCUCCACUCCCAGAGUUUCAUGUUCCUCACUGUCAUUCACGACCAUUACCUUCUCCCCUACUGCUGAACGUCCUUCCACAAAUGGAUGCAUUGUCAGUGGUGGUCCCUAAUACUUCAAACAUGUGGGAUCCUGUUAGCCUCCUGCAAGCAAGAGCUAUGGAGCAUCUCUCUAUCCAGUGAGCGGUCACCCCAAUUAAACUCUGACAACGUGCAGAACAGCAAUCUGUUGUUGUAGCUAUGUAUUUGAUUUCUAUCUUGGUUCGAACUAUUGUUCGAGACAUCACAGUAUAACUGGGCUGAAAAUGCUGCAUUAAACUUGACUGUUCUACAACUCCAUAGGGGUGCCAACCCUGGACAAUAAAGUUUAUAACUCCACGAUCAGUGCUCCUCUGGUGUCCUCCUGUUUCUGCUGCUUACUAGUUGAAGCACCCUCACCACACCCAUUCCUCGUCCUUUUGAUUGUGGUUGCUGUCAGUGCAAGGUAUCGCUGUAGAUAAG
ensembl:lncRNA